rnacentral:lncRNA from 1 species
CGACGCAAAUAUUUCCUCGUAAAUUUACAUGGUGUUUACAACGCAGUUACGAGGAGACCAAAUUUCGUCGUAAACUCCAUGUAAAUUUACGAGGAAAUAUUUUUGUCGUAAAGUCCAUGUAAGUUUACGACGAAAGUACGUGGAAUGAGAAAUACGUCGUAAUCGUUACAUCGACAUUACAACGAAACAUGCUACCGUUAUAUUUAGAUGAAAACGUGUAUUGAAUGUGCUUUAACUUACCUAAUUUCGUCGUAAAGUCGUUGUAAAUAUUAUGUUAAAACCAUGUAAAAUUCAUGUAAAACAUUCCUUGUAAAAUCGUUGUUAUAUUUCAACUACCCA